rnacentral:rRNA from 1 species
AUUGAACGCUGGCGGCAUGCCUAACACAUGCAAGUCGAACGAGGUGUAGCAAUACAUCUAGUGGCGGACGGGUGAGGAAUACGUAGGAAUUUGCCUUAGAGCGGGGGAUAGCCCAGGGAAACUUGGAGUAAUACCGCAUGAUGUCGAAAGACCAAAGCAGGGGACCGCAAGGCCUUGCACUCUGAGAGAAGCCUACGUCUGAUUAGCUAGUUGGUAGGGUAAUGGCCUACCAAGGCGACGAUCAGUAACUGGUCUGAGAGGACGAUCAGUCACACCGGAACUGAGACACGGUCCGGACUCCUACGGGAGGCAGCAGUGGGGAAUAUUGGACAAUGGGCGCAAGCCUGAUCCAGCAAUGCCGCGUGUGUGAAGAAGGCCUUCGGGUUGUAAAGCACUUUAAGCAGGGAAGAA